CAGCCGCCGCGGUAAUACGAAGGGGGCUAGCGUUGUUCGGAAUUACUGGGCGUAAAGCGUACGUAGGCGGAUUGUUAAGUGAGGGGUGAAAUCCCGAGGCUCAACCUCGGAACUGCCUUUCAUACUGGCAAUCUUGAGUCCGGGAGAGGUGAGUGGAACUCCUAGUGUAGAGGUGAAAUUCGUAGAUAUUAGGAAGAACACCAGUGGCGAAGGCGGCUCACUGGCCCGGAACUGACGCUGAGGUACGAAAGCGUGGGGAGCAAACAGGAUUAGAUACCCCAGUAGUCCAUGUCUCUUAUAC
rnacentral:rRNA from 1 species